UAAAGCUGUUGCUGAUUCCAAGCGGAUCGAUUAUCUCUGCAGUCACCUAUGUUUUCUACGCAAGGUCAUCAAGGAGAAGGGUGUCAACAUAAAAGGAUACUUUGCAUGGGCUCUUGGAGAUAAUUAUGAAUUCUGCAAAGGUUUUACCGUCAGAUUCGGACUUAGUUACGUUAACUGGACAAACCUCGAUGAUAGAAAUCUCAAAGAAUCUGGCAAAUGGUACCAAAGCUUUAUUAACGGUACCACUAAGAACCCUGCCAAACAAGAUUUCCGCCGCCCAAACCUCUCCCUCCGCAACCAGAAGAAGAACCUCGCAGAUGCAUGAAACACUUUAUCCCACCUUCAUGAUCAUCUUCAUAUCUCUACUACUUGCUUCAUAAUAAGGAGCUUGUUCUAUCUAUAUUGUACUAAAUAAAUAUUCCAAUAAAAGAUGAUCAUUUACUAAUGAA